UGUCGUCAGCUCGUGUUGUGAAAUGUUGGGUUAAGUCCCGCAACGAGCGCAACCCUUAUCCUUUGUUGCCAGCGGUCCGGCCGGGAACUCAAAGGAGACUGCCAGUGAUAAACUGGAGGAAGGUGGGGAUGACGUCAAGUCAUCAUGGCCCUUACGACCAGGGCUACACACGUGCUACAAUGGCGCAUACAAAGAGAAGCGACCUCGCGAGAGCAAGCGGACCUCAUAAAGUGCGUCGUAGUCCGGAUUGGAGUCUGCAACUCGACUCCAUGAAGUCGGAAUCGCUAGUAAUCGUGGAUCAGAAUGCCACGGUGAAUACGUUCCCGGGCCUUGUACACACCGCCCGUCACACCAUGGGAGUGGGUUGCAAAAGAAGUAGGUAGCUUAACCUUCGGGAGGGCGCUUACCACUUUGUGAUUCAUGA
rnacentral:rRNA from 1 species